AUUCAGUUGACAAGUCCCAAAUAGGACUAAACGGGUGUCCUGGAU
rnacentral:hammerhead_ribozyme from 1 species